rnacentral:rRNA from 1 species
UACGGAGGGUGCGAGCGUUAAUCGGAAUGACUGGGCGUAAAGCGCGCGUAGGCGGUUUGAUGAGUCCGAUGUGAAAGCCCUGGGCUUAACCUGGGAACGGCAUGGGAUACUGUUGAGCUAGAGUGUGGGAGAGGGGUGUGGAAUUUCCGGUGUAGCAGUGAAAUGCGUAGAGAUCGGAAGGAACACCAGUGGCGAAGGCGGCACCCUGGACCAACACUGACGCUGAGGUGCGAAAGCGUGGGGAGCAAACAGG